UUUUUAAUAUAAGUAUGUUCUAUGCAAUAUUUGGGACAUAUUUAUACUGAAA
rfam:Pan troglodytes isolate Yerkes chimp pedigree #C0471 (Clint) chromosome 4, whole genome shotgun sequence.